GAACUUCACAUUGCUACUGGCUGCUAGCAGCUAAUAGCUAUUUUGCCUGUUUCAAGCUCCCCACGACAUGAUUCAUUGUCAUUUUUGCGGGAGAACAUUGCACACGUUAAAGGGUUCUGUGUUGCAUUGUAGGGUUGUGAUGUUCCAUUAUGUGGAGGACACUUGCCUGGCUAGAGAAGUGGACAUCAACAGAGUUCCCUUGACUCCCACGAUUGUUGUAUGUGAUGUUUCUUCUCUAUUAAUCCGGAGAAGGGGACGAAAGUGGAACAAACAAAAACAAAACGGCUCCAUGUGAAUCCAAGAGUCCUUACUUUGAUUCAGGACUUCUCAGACCAUGAAUGGCGAGCUAUUUAAAAAGAUGUUCCUUCAAGUGACCGCGACAGUGAACACCCAUAUGUUUCUCUAGAUGUUCUUCCAGAAGCAAUGCAGUUGCAUGUUAAUCAAGCCUUUACCAUGAUUCACAAGCUCUCCAUGAAUGGCGAGCUGUUUAAAAAGGUGUUACUUCAAAGUGAUGGAGCCGAUGAACACCUAUAUCACCUUUUUUCGUGGCUCUAUAUUAACAAGGUUCACAUUUAUUCACUCACAAUCCCUCUCUCUCACAAACAGAAGUGCAA